GAGCAGUUAAGGCAAAAGGGUUUCUGUCCUCACAGGAGUCUAGUGUGCAGUGGCUGCAGAGCAGCCUCCUUGAUAGGACACACAGCCUGUUUGCUGCCUGUGUGGGUUUCCCCUAAAGGACUUCGGGAGAGUU